CGUACACUCCUACGGGAGGCAGCAGUGGGGAAUUUUGGACAAUGGGCGAAAGCCUGAUCCAGCCAUGCCGCGUGCAGGAUGAAGGCCUUCGGGUUGUAAACUGCUUUUGUACGGAACGAAACGGCCUUUUCUAAUAAAGAGGGCUAAUGACGGUACCGUAAGAAUAAGCACCGGCUAACUACGUGCCAGCAGCCGCGGUAAUACGUAGGGUGCAAGCGUUAAUCGGAAUUACUGGGCGUAAAGCGUGCGCAGGCGGUUAUGUAAGACAGUUGUGAAAUCCCCGGGCUCAACCUGGGAACUGCAUCUGUGACUGCAUAGCUAGAGUACGGUAGAGGGGGAUGGAAUUCCGCGUGUAGCAGUGAAAUGCGUAGAUAUGCGGAGGAACACCGAUGGCGAAGGCAAUCCCCUGGACCUGUACUGACGCUCAUGCACGAAAGCGUGGGGAGCAAACAGGAUUAGAAACCCUGGUAGUCCCAUGAU
rnacentral:rRNA from 1 species